GCCAAGUCGUCUUUUCUCCACUAUAAGGAGAGAUUCUCCCCCCGCCAUUUCAGUGAACGACGGGAAGCGAGAAAAGAGGAAUUCUUCCGUUGCAGUCUCAAUCCUUAUUUCUAAAGUUGGUCUGGGAGGAUCUGUCCUUCGAAGUCGGUGCAAGAUGCCCAACGAACAGAAACGCGGAGCUAGAGAGUCUCAUCUUCUAACACGAGACAAGCCUAGAAAACCAACGGAAACUGCGUUGUGCAAGCCAGAAAAGAAAGUGGUCCCGCGUCAAAACCUGAAGCCAGAAAAAGGGAAUCCCAAUAUUCCCUCAGGAUGUAUAAGAUACAUCGAAACGCGCGAACAGACCCACGGAUCCCUACAGCAAAAGGUAAUAAAGGAGUAUCAUUUUCCACGAGACAACAAUAAAAAAAAGGAAACUGAGUUGUCCAAGCCAAGAAAACACAGGGAUGCGCGUCCAGAAGAACGUCGCCGCGCCACACCAAAGUGAGCGAAAGCGGAGUCGCCGUCCAGAACCUCAGCUUCGGCCGCGAGGGAGAACCCAGGGGGGGGGGGCGACGUCAUGCUCUUCUUCGUGAAGGAACUGCAGUAGGAAAUGCGAUUGCCUUUGAGAAUAUCUUUUGAAUUGGAGUGAUAAGCUUUAAAUUAAUGAAUUAAGGUGAAAGAACUUUGAAUUUGAUAUACUGAUUGAAACAGCAUUGGGAAAUUUCAUUGAUUUAUAGUGUGAUUAAUUGUUUUGAAUUUGCUGUUGUUUCUUCUGAUUUCAUUUUAAGUCAUACUGAUUUAAUGUCGAAUUUAUGCAUCUUCCCCAAAAUACAAAUGAAUGGUUAAAUGGU